rnacentral:lncRNA from 1 species
UAAAAUUCAAGAGCAUUACUCUCCCCAUUCAAAAUGAUUGAUUAUAAGUUUAACGUCGUUGUCUUGUCAAAUGUAGAGUAGAGAUCAUCAUCAUUUCUUAAAAAGAUUAUCAAUACGUCUAUUUUGUGUAUAAAUGUCCAAUUAAUAUCCCCCGUUUUGAAUAUUUAUAUAUGUAUAUGCUUUAUACACUCUAAAAAUGUAUUAAAAUGUCUAUCCAUUUCUUUUAUUGUAUGUUUAGAAUCCUAACUCUCAAUAUGUAUGGCAGUUCUUGAAGAACGUUAUCUACCAGUUCUCAAAUAGUGACAAAUGAAAUUUCUUGUCUUUUUUUUUUUUUUUGAGCAGAAGAAAAUUCUUGUCUUAAAUUUUAUGCAUUAUAAACAUAUUAACGAUCUUUUGAAGAAAUAAUUAGAGUGUAGAUGCAUCACAAUGAAAAUUGACUUCCCGACAAAAGUUGAUUCUCCAAAUUUGUCUCUUAUCAAUUGUAGCACCAUAAUAAUUUAUUCAUAAAUAUAAUACAAAAAAUAUAAAAAUACAACAAAGAGUUUGGGCAACUGCCUCGUUAAAAACCUUAUCGGCUAAACCAAGUGGGAAAAAAGAGUGCAGUUUUAUAACAUAACAAGCAAACAACAAUUAGAAAACCAUAAUUAACUAAUUUAUAUAUUGCAAAUUUAAAUAACAUAUAUCAUAUGUAUAUUGUUACAUUAUCUAACGAAUGAGGACACAAACCUUAUACAUACACUUAUAAUAUUCAGGUGGAACUGCCACAGGACAAUCUGCGGUAGUCUCGCAGGGAAUUGCUACAUUGUAAAAUAAAAAAGGAAAUAUUACAAAAAGGUGAUACAAUAAAUUUGAGAAUUAAAAAAUGCUAUGAAAAAUAACAUACAGCCAUUGAUUACAACAAGAAAUUGAGAAAGCAAUACGAUGAAAGAAAAAACAAACACCAGUAUUCGAGCCAUUAUUUUUCUCCCU